rnacentral:rRNA from 1 species
GACGAACGCUGGCGGCGUGCCUAAUACAUGCAAGUCGAGCGGACGGAUGGGAGCUUGCUCCCAGACCGUCAGCGGCGGACGGGUGAGUAACACGUGGGCAACCUGCCUGUAAGACUGGGAUAACUCCGGGAAACCGGGGCUAAUACCGGAUAACUCUUUCCCUCACAUGAGGGAAAGCUGAAAGAUGGCAUCUCGCUAUCACUUACAGAUGGGCCCGCAGCGCAUUAGCUAGUUGGUGAGGUAACGGCUCACCAAGGCGACGAUGCGUAGCCGACCUGAGAGGGUGAUCGGCCACACUGGGACUGAGACACGGCCCAGACUCCUACGGGAGGCAGCAGUAGGGAAUCUUCCGCAAUGGACGAAAGUCUGACGGAGCAACGCCGCGUGAGUGAUGAAGGUUUUCGGAUCGUAAAACUCUGUUGUCAGGGAAGAACAAGUACCGGAGUAACUGCCGGUACCUUGACGGUACCUGACCAGAAAGCCACGGCUAACUACGUG